AGUAGUAAAAGAACAUAAAAUUGAUCUAUUUCAAUAAAUGAAUUGAGAAUCACGUUAUAGUUGAUCUCGUUAUCUGGUUGAGCAAUCAACCCGUUGAGCAAGAUAACAUUUCCUUUUGAAGGCUGACUUUACUUUCUCCUUAUCAGGUGAAACUGAUUUUACAAUUGGCUAUUCGUUAAUUGUUUUUUAUUCUGACCACAUCGAUUGAUGUGGUUUUUUUUAUCAAAAUUGUCAACAGGUUACAUUUUCAUCCUUUCUUUUACUUGUUUUUAAUACUAUCUCUUCUUACCACUUUCAU
rnacentral:misc_RNA from 1 species